AUUGAACGCUGGCGGAAUGCUUUACACAUGCAAGUCGAACGGCAGCACGGACUUCGGUCUGGUGGCGAGUGGCGGACGGGUGAGUAAUACAUCGGAACGUGCCCAAUCGUGGGGGAUAACGUAGCGAAAGCUACGCUAAUACCGCAUACGAUCUAAGGAUGAAAGCGGGGGAUCGCAAGACCUCGCGCGAUUGGAGCGGCCGAUGGCAGAUUAGGUAGUUGGUAGGGUAAAGGCCUACCAAGCCGACGAUCUGUAGCUGGUCUGAGAGGAUGAUGAGCCACACUGGGACUGAGACACGGCCCAGACUCCUACGGGAGGCAGCAGUGGGGAAUUUUGGACAAUGGACGCAAGUCUGAUCCAGCCAUUCCGCGUGCAGGAUGAAGGCUCUCGGGUUGUAAACUGCUUUUGUACAGAACGAAAAGGCUCUGGUUAAUACCUAGGGCUCAUGACGGUACUGUAAGAAUAAGCACCGGCUAACUACGUGCCAGCCGCCGCGGUAA
rnacentral:rRNA from 1 species